rnacentral:rRNA from 1 species
GACGAACGCUGGCGGCGUGCUUAACACAUGCAAGUCGAACGGAAAGGCCCUGCUUUUGUGGGGUGCUCGAGUGGCGAACGGGUGAGUAACACGUGAGUAACCUGCCCUUGACUUUGGGAUAACUUCAGGAAACUGGGGCUAAUACCGGAUAGGAGCUCCUGCUGCAUGGUGGGGGUUGGAAAGUUUCGGCGGUUGGGGAUGGACUCGCGGCUUAUCAGCUUGUUGGUGGGGUAGUGGCUUACCAAGGCUUUGACGGGUAGCCGGCCUGAGAGGGUGACCGGCCACAUUGGGAUUGAGAUACGGCCCAGACUCCUACGGGAGGCAGCAGUGGGGAAUAUUGCACAAUGGGCGGAAGCCUGAUGCAGCAACGCCGCGUGCGGGAUGACGGCCUUCGGGUUGUAAACCGCUUUCGCCUGUGACGAAGCGUGAGUGACGGUAAUGGGCAAAGAAGCACCGGCUAACUACGUG